rnacentral:lncRNA from 1 species
AAUUUUUAAGGGUGGCCGGCUAGUGUUUUUGUCUCAUAACUAAAUUCUUUUUACGCAAAAUCGUCAAUUGGACCUGAACUUGAAAGCAAACUUACAUGAGCAUUAAUAAGUUUAAAUAGGAGGUCCUGACAUGGUUUUACAAGGAGUUGCGGUCCUCGUCAAGUGAAUGAAUAACCAAAUUUCGAACUCUUCUAACGAAUUAAUCCUAAACAAAUAUGUAGACUAAACUCAAAAAAAUAAAAAACUCAGGUACUAGCAAAUAAAAAAAAACUAAAUUGGACCAACUCGCCUACAUGACCGACCACAAAAGACCACACAACUGACCAGAGCUUUGAAACAAAAAUCGAGAAAUUGAAACAAUGAACCAAAACACAGUCGACGACUUUAAUCUGCG